UUAUGUCCAUGUGGUAGAGCAAUAUUUAUAUAAAGUUGUAAACACUAGCGGUUAUAUUUGUAGUUCGUUGGCGGGUCGUGCUCCCGUCACCCGGAAUAUGGUAAAACGGUCCCGGAAAGAUUCCUAGUUUGUCUGGUUUUUGCUAGCACAUGAAAUCCAAUUUCUUGAUCUGUUAUCACCAGCAAGCAAUUGAUAAUUUCCUAAAUAUUUACAUCUGCUCCAAAAAAACCUAAAUAGAAAUUCUGGAUUUCUUUGUUUUUUUAGAAAAGGUAUAUUCCUUUCCUUAGCAGCACAUGUAUGAAUAUGAAUUCGUUAAAAACAACCAAAUAUUUGUCGUCUGAUUCUAUAAGUAAUCUGUACUUCUUCUAUCUGCUGCUGUUGUUUUCACUCGGAAAAAAGAAGAAGAAGAUUUCUCGAAUCCUCAGACACAGACAGAGAGAGUGAAGUCCUUCUGAACUCCCUACCACCGCAGGUAGAAAUGGCGACUGGGGCUGUACCAGCAUCAUUUUCAGGGUUAAAGAUGAGGGAAUCAAGCUUAGGGUUUGGAAAGAGCGUGGAUUUCGUGAGAAUUUGUGAUACAAAGAGGAUCAAAUCCGGUAGAAAAAGAAUUUCAAUGACUCAAAACUCUAAUACUGGUCCUGGGACUGUUGAGCUUCAACCUGCAUCAGAAGGGAGCCCCCUAUUAGUCCCAAGAAAAAAGUAUUGUGAAUCUAUAAACAAGACUGUCAGAAGGAAAACACGCACUGUAAUGGUGGGAAAUGUGCUUCUUGGUAGUGAGCAUCCUGUAAGGGUUCAAACUAUGACCACAACUGACACCAAGGAUGUUGCUGCGACAGUUGAACAGGUGAUGAGAAUAGCAGACAAGGGAGCAGAUAUAGUUCGGAUAACAGUUCAAGGGAAGAGAGAAGCCGAUGCCUGUUUUGAAAUCAAAAACUCUCUUGUGCAGAAAAAUUACAAUAUUCCUCUGGUUGCGGAUAUUCAUUUCGCUCCAUCUGUUGCAUUGCGAGUAGCUGAAUGCUUUGACAAGAUUCGUGUCAACCCAGGAAAUUUUGCUGAUAGGCGGGCUCAAUUUGAGAAGCUAGAGUACACAGAAGAUGACUAUGAGAAAGAACUUGAGCAUAUUGAGAAGGUUUUUACUCCAUUGGUUGAGAAAUGUAAGAAGUAUGGAAGGGCAAUGCGUAUUGGAACAAACCAUGGGAGUCUUUCAGAUCGUAUAAUGAGCUACUAUGGAGAUUCUCCUAGGGGAAUGGUUGAAUCUGCAUUUGAGUUUGCUAGGAUAUGUCGGAAGUUGGACUUCCAUAAUUUUGUCUUUUCGAUGAAAGCAAGCAACCCAGUUGUCAUGGUCCAGGCAUACCGUCUACUUGUAGCGGAAAUGUAUGUUCAAGGUUGGGAUUAUCCAUUACACUUGGGCGUCACUGAAGCUGGAGAAGGUGAAGAUGGGCGGAUGAAAUCUGCAAUUGGCAUUGGGACUCUUCUUCAGGAUGGUUUGGGUGAUACAAUUAGGGUUUCACUUACAGAACCACCAGAAGAGGAGAUAGAUCCCUGCAGAAGGUUGGCCAAUCUUGGUAUGAGAGCAGCUGAAAUUGAGCAAGGAGUGGCACCAUUUGAGGAAAAGCACAGGCAUUACUUUGAUUUCCAGCGCCAAUCUGGUCAAUUGCCAGUGCAAAAAGAGGGUGAGGAGGUGGAUUAUAGAGGUGUCCUGCACCGUGAUGGCUCCGUGCUCAUGUCAGUCUCUUUAGAUCAGUUGAAGGCACCCGAACUUCUCUAUAAGUCACUUGCAGCAAAGAUUGUUGUUGGGAUGCCUUUUAAGGAUCUGGCAACAGUUGACUCAAUAUUUUUGAGAGAGCUCCCACCAGUGGAUGAUAACGAUGCUCGGCUAGCUCUCAAAAGGUUGAUAGAAGUUAGUAUGGGAGUAAUAGCUCCUUUAUCAGAGCAGCUAACAAAGCCAUUACCCAAUGCCAUGGUUCUUGUCAACCUUAAGGAGUUGUCUACUGGUGCAUACAAGCUUUUGCCAGAAGGUACACGCUUGGUUGUGUCUUUACGUGGCGAUGAGCCCUGUGAAGAAUUGGAAAUUCUCGAACAUGUUGAUGCCACAAUGAUUCUUCAUGUUCUACCCCUUUCAGAGGAUAAGAUUGGCAGAGUGCAUGCAGCAAGGAGGUUAUUUGAGUAUCUUGCAGACAAGGCUUUGAGUGUCCCUGUGAUUCACCAUAUUCAGUUUCCAAAAGGGGUUCGCAGGGAUGACCUGGUCAUUGGUGCUGGUACAGAUGCUGGAGCUCUUUUAGUAGAUGGUCUAGGAGAUGGUAUCCUUAUUGAAGCCCCGGACCAGGAUUUUGAUUUUCUCAGGAAUACAUCUUUCAACUUACUACAAGGUUGCAGAAUGAGAAAUACAAAGACGGAAUAUGUCUCAUGCCCUUCAUGUGGAAGAACUUUGUUUGAUCUUCAAGAGAUAAGUGCAGAAAUACGAGAAAAGACAUCACACUUGCCUGGUGUCUCGAUCGCAAUCAUGGGUUGCAUUGUGAAUGGCCCUGGGGAGAUGGCUGAUGCCGAUUUUGGGUACGUCGGUGGUGCUCCUGGAAAGAUUGACCUUUAUGUUGGGAAGACGGUGGUAAAGCGUGGAAUUGAAAUGGAGCAUGCCACUGACGCCUUGAUCCAGCUGAUUAAAGAUAAUGGCCGCUGGGUAGAUCCUCCUGCUGAAGGGUAAACUGACAGAUAGUUCCAGUUCCACAAUCUUGAAUAAACAAAGGUCAGAAAUCCAUGAUACAGCACAACAGUCAAUCACUACCGCGGAAAAUAUACCUGUCAGCGUAAUGUCGUACUGCAUUCUCUCUCUCUCAACAAUUACAUGAUUCCUCAGUAUACUGAAGAAUAGCGUUGUUAAUGGCAUAAUUGUUGCAUCCGUCCCGGCUUGGUAGGUCAAUUCAAAACUCGGGUGAUUGAUGUAGAGUGUCUAUUUUAUUGAAAACCUGAGUUUAUAAUUCCAGAAAAAACCAGUCGACUAACUUAGUGGAGGGUCCUCCUAUAUUCUAGAUGAUUAUUUUGUUUUUGUUUGAUUGUAUCGGUUAAGGAUUUAUCAUGCGGUUUGAUAAAAAGAAAAAACCUCAACUGGGGUGAAAACAGAAGCCUUUGUAUUUUGAAUUCUUCCUUUCCGAUAUUCAAUAACGUAUGAGCAGGGAGGGAAUACUGGGACCACCAACCUCCCUGCUGAUAUGCAUAUAUUUUAUAUCAUGUGUUGUUGAGCGCGUUUUGAAUU